rnacentral:rRNA from 1 species
CCUACGGGUGGCAGCAGUGAGGAAUAUUGGUCAAUGGGCGAGAUCCUGAACCAGCAAAGCCGCGUGAGGGAAGACGGCCCUAUGGGUUGUAAACCUCUUUUGUCGGAGAACAAAACCCGGGACGUGUCCCGGACUGCGUGUAUCCGAAGAAAAAGCAUCGGCUAACUCCGUGCCAGCAGCCGCGGUAAUACGGAGGAUGCGAGCGUUAUCCGGAUUUAUUGGGUUUAAAGGGUGCGUAGGCGGUCGGAUAAGUUAGAGGUGAAAUCCCGAGGCUCAACUUCGGAAUUGCCUUUGAUACUGUGCGGCUUGAGAGUAGUUGAGGUAGGCGGAAUUAAUGGUGUAGCGGUGAAAUGCUUAGAGAUCAGACAGAACACCGAUGGCGAAGGCAGCUGAC